rnacentral:rRNA from 1 species
CCUACGGGGGGCAGCAGUAGGGAAUAUUGCUCAAUGGGGGAAACCCGGAUGCAGCGACGCCGCGGGAGCGAAGAAGUAUUUCGGUAGGUAAAGCUCUAUCAGCAGGGAAGAAAAUGACGGUACCUGAGUAAGAAGCUCCGGCUAAAUACGUGCCAGCAGCCGCGGUAAAACGAAGGGAGCAAGCGUUAUCCGGAUUUACUGGGCGUAAGGGGAGGGUAGGCGGCCGGCCAGGUCUGAUGUGAAAUCCCGGGGCUCAACCCCGGGGCUGCAUUGGAAACUGGCAGGCUGGAGUGCCGGAGAGGCAGGCGGAAUUCCUAGUGUAGCGGUGAAAUGCGUAGAUAUUAGGAGGAACACCAGUGGCGAAGGCGGCCUGCUGGACGGUGACUGACGCUGAGGCUCGAAAGCGUGGGGAGCAAACAGGAUUAGAUACCCUUGUAGUC